rfam:Verticillium longisporum isolate VL1 genome assembly, contig: scaffold_207
CUCAAUGAUGAUGCAAAUUUGCGAUUGAUUUCAGUCGAUGGCUCUCUUUCGCCGGAGUGGCUAUAUCGGCUGAAUACAUGAUAUUCAAUUCUUACAUAUUCUGAUA